rnacentral:rRNA from 1 species
UACGGGGGGAGCAAGCGUUGUUCGGAUAUACUGGGCGUAAAGGGCGCGUAGGCGGCCACCGCAAGUCGACUGUGAAAUCUCCGGGCUUAACCCGGAAAGGUCAGCCGAUACUGCGGGGCUAGAGUGCAGAAGGGGCAACUGGAAUUCUCGGUGUAGCGGUGAAAUGCGUAGAUAUCGAGAGGAACACCUGCGGCGAAGGCGGGUUGCUGGGCUGACACUGACGCUGAGGCGCGAAAGCUAGGGGAGCGAACGGG